rfam:Butyrivibrio sp. CAG:318 genomic scaffold, scf18
AUAAUAUUUAGGCAAACUUAUCGAAAGAUAAGGACGCAAAGCCAAGGGCCUCUACCUAAUAUGGUGUGGCAGCCGGUUGCUAUC